AUUGAACGCUGGCGGCAUGCUUUACACAUGCAAGUCGAACGGUAACAGGCCGCAAGGUGCUGACGAGUGGCGAACGGGUGAGUAAUGCAUCGGAACGUGCCCAGUCGUGGGGGAUAACGCAGCGAAAGCUGUGCUAAUACCGCAUACGAUCUAUGGAUGAAAGCGGGGGACCGUAAGGCCUCGCGCGAUUGGAGCGUCCGAUGUCAGAUUAGGUAGUUGGUGGGGUAAAGGCCUACCAAGCCAACGAUCUGUAGCUGGUCUGAGAGGACGACCAGCCACACUGGGACUGAGACACGGCCCAGACUCCUACGGGAGGCAGCAGUGGGGAAUUUUGGACAAUGGGCGCAAGCCUGAUCCAGCAAUGCCGCGUGCAGGAAGAAGGCCUUCGGGUUGCAAACUGCUUUUGUACGGAACGAAACGGUCUGGGUUAAUACCCUGGACUAAUGACGGUACCGUAAGAAUAAGCACCGGCUAACUACGUGCCAGCCGCCGCGGUAAUAC
rnacentral:rRNA from 1 species